UAUACAUAGUCUUUACUCCAUCAGGUAGAUAUACAUAGUCUUUACUCCAUCAGGUAGAUAUACAUAGUCUUUACUACUUCAGGUAGAUAUACAUAGUCUUUACUCCUUCAGGUAGAUAUACAUAGUCUUUACUCCAUCAGGUAGAUAUACAUAGUCUUUACUACUUCAGGUAGAUAUACAUAGUCUUUACUCCUUCAGGUAGAUAUACAUAGUCUUUACUCCUUCAGGUAGAUAUACAUAGCCUUUACUACUUCAGGUAGAUAUACAUAGUCUUUACUCCAUCAGGUAGAUAUACAUAGUCUUUACUCCAUCAGGUAGAUAUACAUAGCCUUUACUACUUCAGGUAGAUAUACAUAGCCUUUACUACUUCAGGUAGAUAUACAUAGUCUUUACUCCAUCAGGUAGAUAUACAUAGUCUUUACUCCUUCAGGUAGAUAUACAUAGCCUUUACUACUUCAGGUAGAUAUACAUAGCCUUUACUCCUUCAGGUAGAUAUACAUAGUCUUUACUCCUUCAGGUAGAUAUACAUAGUCUUUACUCCUUCUUCUCGAUUUAGAGUCAGAC